rnacentral:rRNA from 1 species
GACGAACGCUGGCGGCGUGCUUAACACAUGCAAGUCGAACGGAAAGGCCCUGCUUUUGUGGGGUGCUCGAGUGGCGAACGGGUGAGUAACACGUGAGUAACCUGCCCUUGACUUUGGGAUAACUUCAGGAAACUGGGGCUAAUACCGGAUAGGAGCUCCUGCUGCAUGGUGGGGGUUGGAAAGUUUCGGCGGUUGGGGAUGGACUCGCGGCUUAUCAGCUUGUUGGUGGGGUAGUGGCUUACCAAGGCUUUGACGGGUAGCCGGCCUGAGAGGGUGACCGGCCAAAUUGGGACUGAGGUACGGCCCGGACCCCUCCGGGGGGCAGGGGUGGGGAAUUUUGCACAAAGGGCGGAAGCCUGAUGCAGCAACCCCGCGGGGGGGAGGGGGGCCUUCGGGUUGUAAACCGCUUUCGCUUUGGACGAAGGGGGAGGAAGGGUAAUGGAUAAAGAAGCACCGGCAAACUAGGU